rnacentral:rRNA from 1 species
AGAGCGAACGUUAGCGGCGGGCUUAACACAUGCAAGUCGUACGCGAAAGGGCUUCGGCCCCGGUAGCGUGGCGUCCGGGUGAGUAACACGUAGGGAAUCUACCCUUGAGUGGGGGAUAACGUUCCGAAAGGGACGCUAAUACCGCAUAAGACCACGUCGGCUCCGGCCGAAGCGGUCAAAGAUGGCCUCUGUACACAAGCUAUCGCUCGAGGAUGACUCUGCGGCGCAUCAGCUAGUUGGUGGGGUAAUGGCCCACCAAGGCGAAGACGCGUAGCUGGUCUGAGAGGAUGAUCAGCCACACUGGCACUGAAACACGGGCCAGACUCCUACGGGAGCAGCAGUGGGGAAUAUUGGUCAAUGGGCGCAAGCC